rnacentral:rRNA from 1 species
AUUGAACGCUGGCGGCAGGCCUAACACAUGCAAGUCGCACGAGUGGCGGACGGGUGAUUACUGUCUGGGAAAAUGCCCUAUGGUGGGGGAUAACUACUGGAAACGGUAGCUAAUACCGCAUACCAUCGGAUGUGCCCAGAUGGGAUUAGCUAGUAGGGGGGGUAAUGGCUCACCUAGGCGACGAUCCCUAGCUUGUCUGAGAGGAUGACCAGCCACACUGGAACUGAGACACGGUCCAGACUCCUACGGGAGGCAGCAGUGGGGAAUAUUGCACAAUGGGCGCAAGCCUGAUGCAGCCAUGCCGCGUGUAUGAAGAAGGCCUUCGGGUUGUAAAGUACUGUCAGCGAGGAGGCGUUACUCGCAGAAGAAGCACCGGCUAACUCCGUGCCAGCAGCCGCGGUAAUUC